rnacentral:snRNA from 1 species
GUGCUCACUUCAGCAGUACAUAUACUAAAAUUGGAAUGAUACAGAGAAGAUUAGCAUGGCCCCUGCGCAAGGAUGGACGCAGAGCAUUCCAUAUUUUU